rnacentral:rRNA from 1 species
AGUGAACGCUGGCGGUAGGCCUAACACAUGCAAGUCGAACGGCAGCACAGUAAGAGCUUGCUCUUACGGGUGGCGAGUGGCGGACGGGUGAGGAAUACAUCGGAAUCUACUUUUUCGUGGGGGAUAACGUAGGUAAACUUACGCUAAUACCGCAUACGACCUACGGGUGAAAGCAGGGGAUCUUCGGACCUUGCGCGAUUGAAUGAGCCGAUGUCGGAUUAGCUAGUUGGCGGGGUAAAGGCCCACCAAGGCGACGAUCCGUAGCUGGUCUGAGAGGAUGAUCAGCCACACUGGAACUGAGACACGGUCCAGACUCCUAAGGGAGGCAGCAGUGGGGAAUAUUGGACAAUGGGCGCAAGCCUGAUCCAGCCAUACCGCGUGGGUGAAGAAGGCCUUCGGGUUGUAAAGCCCUUUUGUUGGGAAAGAAAAGCAGCAGGUUAAUACCCCGCUGUUCUGACGGUACCCAAAGAAGAAGCACCGGCUAACUUCGUG